CCCCUACGUCGGAACCCAGGGACGGACAAACCACGUGACCCGAACCCGGCUUCUCCCCACCUCACCUCCUGAGCGACACCAAGAUUCUCCCGCUUCUUUUUCGUCAUAUUGCUCGCUGUGUUUCCCCCGCGCUGGACCCGCCCACUAGGUCACAUCGCGCACGCGCAGAACCCCGUGCUUCCUUUCCAUUGGCCGGCGCGGCGGAAGGAGGCGUGGCUGCUGCGGUCGCCAUCUUGUUGAGGGGCGCGGCCAGCCUGCAGCGGCCAUGUUUGUGAGGGGCGCCCCCCCCACCCCACCCCCGGGAGCCCUUGAGUGAUGGUGCUGGAAGGGACCCGAGAUACCAUCUCGCUUGGCCGCCUGACUGCGACCUGCAGAGGGAACAGGUAGUAAAUCCUACCUGAACCGGACGCAGGCUGUUGAAGUUGUUUAGUGCGGUUCUCAGCUGAACACCCGGCGCGGGAAAAUCUUCCUUGAGAACGUUGUCUAUCAGCUGUCAAUCAACAACCCUUCCAGGAUUGGUUCCGUCCCAGAAAAAACAGACUCUGCUUCCCAAUUAUCCCAGGCGCUGGCCCAGGGGAGGUGAGAAGACGACGAUGGGGAGAAGCGCUGUGUUCUUUUAGAAGUGGCUCCCUUCUGUGUUUCUCUGGCACCAAGAAAAAGCCACAGAGCUCUCUGGGUGUGCCUCACGCCCGCCUCAUCUCUUCCCAGCUCCGGGCAAAGUCAAGAAAGCUCUCAACUCCCGUGUUAUUUCCUCAGACCUCCUCCCCUGGGUCAGAUGAUGGAAUAAAAUGCGCAAGGCGAGCCGG